UACAGAGGGGGCAAGCGUUGUUCGGAAUUACUGGGCGUAAAGGGCGCGUAGGCGGCCAUGCGUGUCUUCCGUGAAAUCCCUCGGCUUAACUGAGGACGUGCGGAAGAAACUGCAAGGCUCGAGUCCGGGAGAGGGGGGUGGAAUUCCCAGUGUAGCGGUGAAAUGCGUAGAUAUUGGGAGGAACACCGGUGGCGAAGGCGGCCCCCUGGACCGGUACUGACGCUGAGGAGCGAAAGCGUGGGGAGCGAACAGG
rnacentral:rRNA from 1 species